CACCUGGAAGCCACAUUGUCAUCCGUGAAGGGAGUCGGCUCUUAUAUUUUUGUGUUUUUUGAAGCGAAUUAUCCUGUUCCCGAGGGAGCCAUGCAUCUAGAAACGUAGAGUACGUGGCGGCACGGGGCUUGAGGGGCAGGGCGACACGUGCAUUGCAUUCCUGUGUGUGAAGUUGGAGAGCGGGAUAUAAGCCGGCUGGGGAAGGAGACGGUGGCUGAGUGGUUAGCGUGCCGGUCCUGCGUUCACUGCGUCAUGGAUGAUGAGGGUUUGAAUCUGUCGCUGCCACUGACUACUUGUCCUGAAGACCACCACCAUCAUCCUGGACUGUAUGGGACUGUCCAAGGGAAAGCAAGAUGGGGCCGCUAUAAACACUUGCCGGCUUGGGCCCACCACCAGGCCCAGCCGAGGGAGGUUGGUGUAGCAGUGCCGGGAGGUUCCAUAACACAGGGCACUCCUCACCUCAACAACAGUCUCUUCACCGACAAGUAAUUCUUCACCAACAAGCUUUUCAGCAGCUUGGAGAAAUAGAGACAAGAGGAGGAGGAGGAAGAAGAGGAGGAGGAGGACUUUGAAGACUGACAGACAGACAUCAUUCCAGUGAUGAAAGAGGAAGAGGAAGAGGAAGAGGAGGAGGAGGAGGACACAGGAAUUUCUUGAAUUGAACGGACAUCUCGGUCUGCCUGCAGCACACCACACACUCUGGAAGAAGAAAGAACACCAAGAUGUCAAGUUCCUGCAUAAUCAGCCUCUUAGUGAAGGAAAUGUGCUCUAUUUAUUUAAUAAAUGAUUGACAAAAAAAUAA